rnacentral:rRNA from 1 species
AUUGAACGCUGGCGGCAUGCUUUACACAUGCAAGUCGAACAGUAACAGGCCGCAAGGUGCUGACGAGUGGCGAACGGGUGAGUAAUGCAUCGGAACGUGCCCAGUCGUGGGGGAUAACGCAGCGAAAGCUGCGCUAAUACCGCAUACGAUCUAUGGAUGAAAGCGGGGGACCGUAAGGCCUCGCGCGAUUGGAUCGGCCGAUGUCAGAUUAGGUAGUUGGUGGGGUAAAGGCUCACCAAGCCAACGAUCUGUAGCUGGUCUGAGAGGACGACCAGCCACACUGGGACUGAGACACGGCCCAGACUCCUACGGGAGGCAGCAGUGGGGAAUUUUGGACAAUGGGCGCAAGCCUGAUCCAGCAAUGCCGCGUGCAGGAAGAAGGCCUUCGGGUUGUAAACUGCUUUUGUACGGAACGAAACGGUCCUGGUUAAUACCCGGGGCUAAUGACGGUACCGUAAGAAUAAGCACCGGCUAACUACGUGCCAGCCGCCGCGGUAAAAC